UUCGAAUGUCGUCAUGUUCCCUCUAACUAAAGCGCGGUACAGCUAACAACACUGGGAGCGACCUUCUGACCUUCACAACCUGGACUAAGAGUGACGUCAGCCUCCAACAGACGGUGUGUGAAAUUCAGAAAUCCAUGAAAGCUGAUCAGCUGUGUGGCGCUAACACGGUCUGUGUGAUGAUGUUAUUGUUGAACCUGCGUUUGAAAAGCCCAGAAGGAUCUGAGGCGAAAAACGUCCCAGGUUAGUCCAGUUGUCCUUUUCCAAAACAGAGUUAGAUUUUGAUUUUGAUCCUCAGAGGAACGGAAAGAAGUCGGUGUAAAUUGACACGUUAACUUGAAUGGUUACGAUCAGCUACGAUCGGAGGAUACGACCUUUCAGGAGACGAUCAGGAUGAAGGUGGAGGUCGGGGGUCAGAGAGAAAGUGCCAGAAACGGAAGAAUCCUCCUGUCAGCAAAACAGUCUGCAGAACUCAGGGGUCCAAAAAGGAAGUAGGAGAGCUCUGGUGGACUCUGGUGGACUCUGGUAGACCGCCGUCGCUCCAGUAAACCACAUACAGGCUGACACAGAUCAAUAUUUAAGGAGGAGUCAAAGAAAAGUGAGAACUUCUUGAAGCAGUCUGAUCGUUUGGGUGAAAACUCUGGACUGACAGGAAAAAUCGUUCAAACACGACAAAGAAGAAGAAAGUUUCGACUCCGCUCAUGGAAAUGAUUCUUGGAUCGCCUUGAUAAGCAGCCAAGCCUCGCCGCAGCCCAAAAAUCAAACAUGCGGGACAUGGUACAUAUGAAAGUCUUUAUGGGACCCUAUAGGAGGCCUCCCUCUCUCUCCCUCUCUCUCCCUCUCUCUUCCUUUCUCUGUCUUGUCGUCCUCAGGCUGUGUAAGCUCUGCGGUUUGGCGAGCUGCUGCACAGAUCUCAGUAGUUCCUGUUGUGGAAAGAAAGAUUAUUACGAGCCCACACGGCUACAGUUCAGAACUAUUAUUAUAAUCAUCAUUUCACCAGAAACAGCCGAGGUAUCCACUCACCCCGCUCUCCAGUGUCACCCUCAUCCUCUCUGCUCUUAAUUUAGCCUCUCUGUGGAAGAAAAAGGAAAUAUACUGAAAAAGUCAAAAAAGAAAAAGAAGAAGAGAGAAAAACGAUCUUCAAAUCCAGAGACACAUAAAAACAGAGAAAACUGAAACUAGAGCGGAGAGUGGACAGGGAUCGAGAAUCAACAGGAUUCUGAGGUUGAGCACCAAACACCAAGGAGGGAGGUAGGGAGGAAGGAAGGAAGGAAGGAAGGAAGGAAGGAAGGAAGGAAGGAAAAGAGAAGGAAGGAAGGAAGCAAGGGAGGGAGGAAAAAAGGAAAAGAGAAGGAAGGAAGGGAGAAAGGAACGGAGUAAGAAAAGAAGGCAGGAAAGAAGGAAGAAGUAGGGGAAGAAAGGAAUGAAGGAAGGAAUGAAAGAAGAAAAGAAGGAAGGACAGAAGGGAGGAAGGAAAGAAGGAAGGAA